AUCCUUCCAAUCAAUGGGGUGAACAGCCUCAUUGACCCAAAGGGAUUCCCUCCAAUCGAUGGGGUGUAAUAGCCUCAUCAACCGGAAGGGAUUCCUUCCGGUCAAUGGUGUUGUUGUUUCUCAUUGAUUGGAAGGAU
rnacentral:miRNA from 1 species